rnacentral:rRNA from 1 species
UGGGGAAUAUUGCACAAUGGGCGCAAGCCUGAUGCAGCCAUGCCGCGUGUAUGAAGAAGGCCUUCGGGUUGUAAAGUACUUUCAGCGGGGAGGAAGGCGAUAAGGUUAAUAACCUUGUCGAUUGACGUUACCCGCAGAAGAAGCACCGGCUAACUCCGUGCCAGCAGCCGCGGUAAUACGGAGGGUGCAAGCGUUAAUCGGAAUUACUGGGCGUAAAGCGCACGCAGGCGGUCUGUCCAGUCGGAUGUGAAAUCCCCGGGCUCAACCUGGGAACUGCAUUCGAAACUGGCAGGCUAGAGUCUUGUAGAGGGGGGUAGAAUUCCAGGUGUAGCGGUGAAAUGCGUAGAGAUCUGGAGGAAUACCGGUGGCGAAGGCGGCCCCCUGGACAAAGACUGACGCUCAGGUGCGAAAGCGUGGGGAGCAAACA